rnacentral:lncRNA from 1 species
UUUUUUUGUUUUGAAAUUUAAUGAUUUUGUUGCAAAGUCAUCAGCCGAUGAUACGUCCAUUUUGCAUCAUGUUUUCAUGUUGAUAUUUAUCGCUUCUUGGGCUGUUAUUUCACUUCACGAUACAAUUCUUAUGCAUUUUCUCUCUUAUUUUGCAAGGUUUACAUGAAGAGGGAGAAUGCCGGCAACUGGAAUUCUGGCCUGAAAGUGGAGCAAAGUUGAGAUACCUAUUCUAUGCAACUCCAAACGCCGUAAAAAUCAACGAGGAUUUUUUUCCUGAUUUAUCAGAAAUACUGGGCCGAAGAAGUGGC